GCCAAGGCUAGAGUGCUUGGCGCCAUGGGCGCUGGCAAGUGUCCAGCGCUCUCAUACCCAUGUUGCUCAAUGGAGGAUAUGGCUAUGAGAA
rnacentral:sRNA from 1 species